ensembl:lncRNA
AGGUCAUUAAGGAGCAGGUAGGGGUUAGACAGUACAGAGACAGGUCAUUAAGGAGCAGGUAGGGGUUAGACAGUACAGAGACAGGUCAUUAAGGAGUAGGUAGGGGUUAGACAGUACAGACAGGUCAUUAGGGAGCAGGUAGGGGUUAGACAGUACAGAGACAGGUCAUUAAGGAGCAGGUAGGGGUUAGACAGGUCAUUAAGGAGCAGGUAGGGGUUAGACAGUACAGAGACAGGUCAUUAAGGAGCAGGUAGGGGUUAGCCAGUACAGAUACAGGACGUUAAGGAGCAGGUAGGGGUUAGCCAGUACAGAGACAGGUCAUUAAGGAGCAGGUAGGGGGGUUCUUUCCAGGUAUAGGUGUGGUUUCCAGGUGUGUAGCAACCAAUAACGUAAUAACUGCCAAUAACUUAAUCAUUAUAAUUUAAUAAAGCCAAUAACGUAAUAACUUGCAAAUAAUGAAAUAAAGUUGUUGAGCCAAGAAUGUACUAACUUAUUAAGUUAUUUGCUGGUUAUUUUGUUACUGGCCUUGUAAGAAAAAAAUCAUUUUUUCUUGAAGUUCUGCGUUGCAGUUUUCAGUAUGGCAUAAUAAUAUAAUUCAUAAGUAUUAUAUGUCUGCAGCUCCCCAUUUCAAUAUUAUCAAAUCAUACUGCUUUAUUCACCAAUAAUCAUAAACUGAUUUAAUGCACAUGUUUAUCCACACAUGCACAACCAUGCAGUUCUUGAACUAAAGAAAUCUAGAGCAUAAUCAGACAAACAUUCAAGUUAUGAUUAUUGGUGAAUAAAGCAGUAUGUUUAUUUACAUUAUUGGCUUUAUUUUAUUUAAACAAUUACAUUGUUGGCAGUUAUUACGUUAUUGGCCGUUAUUAUGUUAUUGAUUGCUACAAGGUGUUUCCAGGUAGAUGUAUAGUUGUGGUUUCCAGGUAGAUGUAUUGUUGGGUUCCAGGUGUUUCCAGGUAGAUGUAUUAUUUGGUUCCAGGUAGGGCUGGGUGAUAUGGGCCAAAAUGAAUAUCUCGAUAUUUUUUUUACUAUAUCUCGAUACACUAUAUAUCACGAUAUAUUUUGAAUCUCCUCUAGAGCACAUCAUAAAUGCUCGAUUCAACCAUGUCUGGCAUAAUGUUACGUCAGUAAUAAUUCUAGUAUUCCUGAA